rnacentral:lncRNA from 1 species
GAAAGAGAUAGAUCAAAAAGAGGAAAGAAGAGGGACUGGGAAGCUAGGGCGACUGAGGAUACGCCGAGGUCUAGUCCGGCUUGGCAGCGCGAACUAGAGAGCUUUGCGAGCCGCGGGGCUGGGAAGUCAGGGCAUAAGGGCCAGGCCUGCCCUCUGGUGCUUUCGGCUCCUCGGGCCCCCGACUUUAAAGUGCUCAAGUUGGGGUCGGCGCCAUCAUGACGCCUGAGACUGAGUGAGUUGGCUUUUUUUGUUGUUGUCUUGUAUUUUUUUUUUAAUCCUGACUAGCUAAUAGCGCUGUUAAUAAACUGCCAGUUAGCUCUCU